rnacentral:rRNA from 1 species
CCUACGGGGGGCAGCAGUGGGGAAUAUUGGACAAUGGGGGCAACCCUGAUCCAGCCAUGCCGCGUGUGUGAAGAAGGCCCUCGGGUUGUAAAGCACUUUCAGUGAGGAAGAACGCCUGGUGGUUAAUACCCAUCAGGAAAGACAUCACUCACAGAAGAAGCACCGGCUAACUCCGUGCCAGCAGCCGCGGUAAUACGGAGGGUGCGAGCGUUAAUCGGAAUUACUGGGCGUAAAGCGCGCGUAGGUGGCUUGAUAAGCCGGUUGUGAAAGCCCCGGGCUCAACAUGGGAACGGCAUCCGGAACUGUCAAGCUAGAGUGCAGGAGAGGAAGGUAGAAUUCCCGGUGUAGCGGUGAAAUGCGUAGAGAUCGGGAGGAAUACCAGUGGCGAAGGCGGCCUUCUGGACUGACACUGACACUGAGGUGCGAAAGCGUGGGUAGCAAACAGGAUUAGAUACCCUAGUAGUC